rnacentral:rRNA from 1 species
AUUGAACGCUGGCGGCAGGCCUAACACAUGCAAGUCGAGCGAGUGGCGGACGGGUGAGUAAUGUCUGGGAAACUGCCUGAUGGAGGGGGAUAACUACUGGAAACGGUAGCUAAUACCGCAUACCAUCGGAUGUGCCCAUAUGGGAUUAGCUAGUAGGUGGGGUAAGGGCUCACCUAGGCGACGAUCCCUAGCUGGUCUGAGAGGAUGACCAGCCACACUGGAACUGAGACACGGCCCAGACUCCUACGGGAGGCAGCAGUGGGGAAUAUUGCACAAUGGGCGCAAGCCUGAUGCAGCCAUGCCGCGUGUAUGAAGAAGGCCGUAGGGUUGUAAAGUACUUUCAGCCGGGAGGCGUUACCCGCAGAAGAAGCACCGGCUAACUCCGUGCCAGCAGCCGCGGUAAUUC